UGGGGAAUUUUGGACAAUGGGCGAAAGCCUGAUCCAGCAAUGCCGCGUGUGUGAAGAAGGCCUUCGGGUUGUAAAGCACUUUUGUCCGGAAAGAAAUCCUUGGCUCUAAUACAGUCGGGGGAUGACGGUACCGGAAGAAUAAGCACCGGCUAACUACGUGCCAGCAGCCGCGGUAAUACGUAGGGUGCAAGCGUUAAUCGGAAUUACUGGGCGUAAAGCGUGCGCAGGCGGUUUGCUAAGACCGAUGUGAAAUCCCCGGGCUCAACCUGGGAACUGCAUUGGUGACUGGCAGGCUAGAGUAUGGCAGAGGGGGGUAGAAUUCCACGUGUAGCAGUGAAAUGCGUAGAGAUGUGGAGGAAUACCGAUGGCGAAGGCAGCCCCCUGGGCCAAUACUGACGCUCAUGCACGAAAGCGUGGGGAGCAAACAGGAUUAGAUACCCUGGUAGUCCACGCCCUAAACGAUGUCAACUAGUUGUUGGGGAUUCAUUUCCUUAGUAACGUAGCUAACGCGUGAAGUUGACCGCCUGGGGAAGUACGGUCGCAAGAUUAAAACUCAAAUGAAUU
rnacentral:rRNA from 1 species